UAAUACGUAGGGAGCGAGCGUUACCCGGAAUCACUGGGCGUAAAGAGCGCGUAGGCGGCUGGAUAAGUCUCUUGUGAAAGCUCCCGGCUUAACUGGGAGAGGUCAAGGGAUACUAUUCGGCUUGAGGGCAGUAGAGGAAGGCGGAAUUCCCGAUGUAGCGGUGAAAUGCGUAGAUAUCGGGAGGAACACCAGCGGCGAAGGCGGCCUUCUGGGCUGUGCCUGACGCUGAGGCGCGAGAGCGUGGGUAGCAAACUGGAUUAGAUACCCAGGUAGUCCACGCCCUAAACGAUGAAUGCUAGGUAUAGGGGGUAUCGACCCCUCCUGUGCCGCAGCUAACGCGAUAAGCAUUCCGCCUGGGGACUACGGCCGCAAGGCUA
rnacentral:rRNA from 1 species